rnacentral:rRNA from 1 species
AGAGUUUGAUCMUGGCUCAGAUUGAACGCUGGCGGCAUGCUUUACACAUGCAAGUCGAACGGCAGCACGGAGAGCUUGCUCUCUGGUGGCGAGUGGCGAACAGGUGAGUAAUGCAUCGGAACGUACCGAGUAAUGGGGGAUAACUGUCCGAAAGGAUGGCUAAUACCGCAUACGCCCUGAGGGGGAAAGCGGGGGAUCUUAGUGACCUCGCGUUAUUUGAGCGGCCGAUGUUGGAUUAGCUAGUUGGUGGGGUAAAGGCCUACCAAGGCGACGAUCCAUAGCGGGUCUGAGAGGAUGAUCCGCCACAUUGGGACUGAGACACGGCCCAAACUCCUACGGGAGGCAGCAGUGGGGAAUUUUGGACAAUGGGGGGAACCCUGAUCCAGCCAUGCCGCGUGUCUGAAGAAGGCCUUCGGGUUGUAAAGGACUUUUGUUAGGGAAGAAAAGCCGGGUGCUAAUACCACCUGGUGCUGACGGUACCUAAAGAAUAAGCACCGGCUAACUACGUGCCAGCAGCCGCGGUAAUACGUAGGGUGCGAGCGUUAAUCGGAAUUACUGGGCGUAAAGCGAGCGCAGACGGUUAAUUAAGUCAGAUGUGAAAUCCCCGAGCUCAACUUGGGACGUGCAUUUGAAACUGGAUAACUAGAGUGUGUCAGAGGGAGGUAGAAUUCCACGUGUAGCAGUGAAAUGCGUAGAGAUGUGGAGGAAUACCGAUGGCGAAGGCAGCCUCCUGGGAUAACACUGACGUUCAUGCUCGAAAGCGUGGGUAGCAAACAGGAUUAGAUACCCUGGUAGUCCACGCCCUAAACGAUGACAAUUAGCUGUUGGGACACUAGAUGUCUUAGUAGCGAAGCUAACGCGUGAAAUUGUCCGCCUGGGGAGUACGGUCGCAAGAUUAAAACUCAAAGGAAUUGACGG